rnacentral:rRNA from 1 species
GAUGAACGCUGGCGGCGUGCCUAAUACAUGCAAGUCGAGCGAACGGACGAGAAGCUUGCUUCUCUGAUGUUAGCGGCGGACGGGUGAGUAACACGUGGAUAACCUACCUAUAAGACUGGGAUAACUUCGGGAAACCGGAGCUAAUACCGGAUAAUAUUUUGAACCGCAUGGUUCAAAAGUGAAAGACGGUCUUGCUGUCACUUAUAGAUGGAUCCGCGCUGCAUUAGCUAGUUGGUAAGGUAACGGCUUACCAAGGCAACGAUGCAUAGCCGACCUGAGAGGGUGAUCGGCCACACUGGAACUGAGACACGGUCCAGACUCCUACGGGAGGCAGCAGUAGGGAAUCUUCCGCAAUGGGCGAAAGCCUGACGGAGCAACGCCGCGUGAGUGGUGAAGGUCUUCGGAUCGUAAAACUCUGUUAUUAGGAAAGAACAUAUGUGUAAGUAACUGUGCACAUCUUGACGGUACCUAAUCAGAAAGCCACGGCUAACUACGUG